AGCUAUAUUUUUGAAAAUACACAGCCCGCCUCUCCCUUCAGCCCUCCCCUCAAAGCCACGCCUUCAAAACACAUGAACGCGCAUGCAGUCUGUCAAGUGUUCGGAUUAUCCCGGGAACCCACGAGAGCUCACGAGGCGGGUCUAGAAGCCACGACAAAUCGAUUAGCCAAGCUAACUUCCAGCCAUGGCACUGUCUCCGGCUACGACCUUCCACGACCACGAGAGCUCCAGCUCUGACUUUCCUGGCCCAUCACAAUCAUAACGACCUAACAGCCCAGUAGGACCGAUGACCAGAGAUGGAAGAGGAGGAAGAUAGACGCAGCAGAGGUCGGGGAUAUUGAUUAGGAAGACUCCAACAGAAUUGACGCCCUGCUAACUGCCUUGAUUCAAUCAUUGAAUUUGAAGCAAUCCCAUCGGUUACUGCAGCGUGCCCUGACCCGUGACCCCAGUUUGAUGUUCGACCUGGCACAUGACAUCUGGUCCUCAGUCACAGCCCAGUAGCACAACCAACCUGGCGCCUCUGCGCAAUCUGUAAGGAGAUGCCCAUGAACAUUGAAAGGAAAUGCUGUGGUGUUCUCAGUUUUGAUGGAAGACUUUGGGCUGAUGUAGGACCAGGUGAGAGAAACGGACUCUUCAGGCAUGCAGCCUACAGACAGUAUGGGGCACUUGAACAGGGUUGACGUUGUAAUACACAGUACAAUACCCAGGAUUAGCCAGGGUUACCCUGCUCCACUAGAGCAAUAUAAAAGGUUUAUACAGAGUACGGUAUAAAACACACAAACCGGCAGUGUGCAGAGUUUUAUUAUUUUUCAUUAUCUGUAGGAGCAUUCAUCUGUACAUUUAUACAUGUCACCUUUUUGGUUUGGAACCACGUUUGUCUUGUUGUUUUUUUUCAUACAUAGAAAA